GACGGGGGAUGCAAGUGUUAUCCGGAAUCACUGGGCGUAAAGCGUCUGCAGGUGGUUUCCUAAGUCCACUGUUAAACCUUGAGGCUCAACCUCAAAUCUGCAUUGGAAACUAGGAGACUUGAGUAUAGUAGGGGUAGAGGGAAUUUCCAGUGGAGCGGUGAAAUGCGUAGAUAUUGGAAAGAACACCGAUGGCGAAGGCACUCUACUAGGCUAUUACUGACACUCAGAGACGAAAGCUAGGGGAGCAAAUGGG
rnacentral:rRNA from 1 species